rnacentral:rRNA from 1 species
AUGGUUGUAUCUAGAACUAAAACAAGUCUAGAUACAACCAUUUUAAGACAAGUAUUUCCGAACAGAGGGAGUACACACAUUGGGUACGCUGGACAGGUCAUAGCAUGUAAAGUUCAUGAUAUGAUUCUCGAUCUAAUCAGACUCAUGUCGGAAGAAGAGAAGUUUCUUAGUGUGGUAGAUAACCUACAGGGCAUGAUCUCAGCAUUGCAGAGCAGGGUUCGUCGAAUGUCCCUUCAGUUGGAUUCUGGAGCUAAUGAAGGCACAGUACAAGCAAGCUUAAGCAUGCCACAUAUUCGAUCUCUUGCUCUUUUUGGCAAGUCUCGUUUCAAGUUCUCUAUGUAUGAACUCAAGUCCAUCCGAGUUCUGAAUAUGCAUUGUGAGGGUGGUCGCAUGGCUGAUAGGAUUGACCUCACACCAAUCUGUAAAUUGUUUCACCUCAGAUAUUUGAGCAUCAAUUCGAAAAAAAAGAAGAAAAAUAUGAGCAUCAGCAGCCCGAAUGAACAGAUACCAAUCCUUAUCCUGCCAACCCUAAUUGGGGACCUAAAACAUUUGGAGACUUUGGAAUUGCAUAUGGAUAUUACUGCCAUGCCAUGUGAUAUCAUUGAUUUGCCUUCCUUGUUGAAUCUACAUGUUCCUAUGGGAACAAGGCUACCUGAUGGAAUUCGUACGAUGAAGGCCCUACGUACUCUGGUGAACUUUGAUGUGCACAUGAACUUGGUGGAUAAUUUAACAGGUCUCGGUGAACUUACAAAUCUCAGGUAUCUUGAAUUUUGCUGCGAUAAUGCUGAACGUACCACCAGCCAACGGGGAAUUCUUAUGGAUACUUUCUGGUGUUCUGUGGCCAAACUUAUCAGGUGCAAUCUGAGACAUCUUUGGUCCAGUAGUAACAUAUUUUGUCCUCCAUGUGUUGAGUUGGCUUCUCUGGUCACUAGCAAUACUGAGAGUAAUCUUGUGGAACUCCAUGUUGCAGCAACUUGGACGUUUCCGAGGGUUCCAAUUUGGACCGGUCAGCACCGAAAGCUCUCAAAGUUGGGAAUUGCUGUUGAGAAGGUGAUGCAGGAGGACAUUGAUUUGCUCGGAAUGUUACCUAAUUUCCUGCACCUGUGGUUGUGGAUACGAAAAUUCCCGGAAAUAAGGAUUACCAUCCAUGGUGGUGAGGUGACAUUCCAGCUUCUCAAAUAUUUCAGAAUCACGUGCUUUGCCCCGUGCCUAACCUUUAUGGCAGGGGCAAUGCCCAAACUCCAAAAGUUGGAUCUGCAAACGCAUGAGCAUGGGGUGGAGCGUCAUGGCCCCUCGACAAUUGAGGGCGUGGAGCACCUGCUGACACUCAGGCAAGUCGACAUUGAUAUUUACUUUGAGGGAGCUGAUACAGAGUCACAAAGAAGGGCGGCGGACGCCGAGGCUAUCUUAAGGAAAGCCAUCCACGUCCAUCCAGGACAUCCGAGCAUCAAGAGCAGGCUUCAAAGUAACAGAAGCUCUUUUAUUCCGGUGGCAGUUCUGAGGGGGGCGAUGAGGUGGAGAGGCAACCGGACGAUGCAGUUGAUCGAUCUGCCGAGGCAGCCACACAUGCUCCAUCCACCGUUGCUGAUGGACGAACAGGGAAUUCACAGCAGGGGCCGGAGCCGCACAAAACCAACAUGCAUGGAAUAG